CUUCAUCACCUCAUGUGCACCGCUCAACAGAGACUCACUGAUAGAGAUACAACGCUAUACACUGACCAGCUCCUGCCAUCAUGCUAUUUACAAACAAACACGUGACUGGAUAAACUGUUCUGGGGAACUACUGUAAGCUUCAUAAUGUAAAAUAAUGUGACAGAUGAAAUGAAGAACACAAUCUGCCUUAUCUCCUAAUGUAUUACACAAGUUGACUGCAGGUACUAACUUAGAAAGUAGUUACAAAUAUUCCAAUUUAUUGAAAAACUUCAAAUAAAUCAUUUUUUUUGUAUUGACAGUAUUGAAAAACCUUUCUGUAGCUUUUUCCAAAUACCCGGUAUAUAAGGUAUACCACCCAAGCCUACCUAGCACAUCCUUUUUUUGUUUGUUUUUGACAGCCAAAUCUGAUGCCGAUUCCAGUCAUUGUUUUGAAUCAAGAUUGUUUUUAACCUCGUGCUCACCUGACUUCACAAAGUCAAGGCCAUUGGUGCAGAAGAACAGGUCCACAGUUACUGGCAGGCAUACACACUAUAUACCAGACAACAGCAGAGCACCGCUUCCCCGAGAGAGAGAGAGAGAGAGCGUGAGAGAGAGCGUGAGAGAGAGAGAGAGAGAGAGAGAGAGAGAGAGAGAGAGAGAGAGAGAGAGAGAGAGAGAGAGAGAGAGAGAGAGAGAGAGAGAGAGAGAGAGAGAGAGAGAGAGAGGAGAGAGAGAGAGAGAGGAGAGAGAGAGCGGAGAGAGAGCGCGAGAGAGAGAGAGGAGAGAGAGAGAGAGAGAGAGAGAGAGAGAGAGAGAGGAGCGCGAGAGAGAGAGAGAGAGAGAGAGAGAGAGGAGAGAGAGAGAGAGAGAGAGAGAGAGAGAGAGAGAGAGAGAGAGAGAGAGAGAGAGAGAGAGAGAGAGAGAGAGGAAGGGGUACGGGGCAAAGGGUGAAGGCAAGGAGGAUGGAGGAAGGAGAAUAGAAAUACAGGAAGAGGGAGUAAGAGGGGGUCGAGAGAGAAAG
rnacentral:lncRNA from 1 species